UGGAGAUCCGGAUUAAGGAGCUGGAGUUGCUCACCAUCACUGGGGACGGCUUCGACUCCCAGAGCUACACAUUCCUGAAGGCGCUAAAAGACGAAAAGUUACAAGGACUGAAGACCAAGCAACCCGGAAAGAAGUCGGCCUCUCUCUCCUGAGGAGCUGCCCACCAGAGCUUGGGCAGCCACCUCCUUAGGUGUUAGUGCUUAGAUAAUGUGUCCCAUUUGUUGUCAUUUCAAAGAUGGUUAUUUUCUGUUCUGUAUUUACCGCUGUUGUUGUUGCUACCAGCAUGUACUUCACAUACAGUGCCCGCUUUGUGUGGUAAAUCUCAUGGUCUCUCUCCUCUCUAUGUGCUGCUGAGGGAGCUCUCUCAUGGUGUCUAGAAGCUGCUGUCCAGCCAGCAUUCAAGGUCUCCCGAGACCAGGGAGGGAACCCCC
rnacentral:lncRNA from 1 species